rnacentral:lncRNA from 1 species
UGUGUUGAGCUGUCUUUUGAGUAGCGUUUCUCCUGAGUAGCUGAGCCUGGUUGGCUUUGGAAGCACUCCUUUCUGGAUCACACCGACGAGACUACACUGGUGACUACAGCAUGACUACAUUGUGACUACAUCGUGACUUCAAUGAUUUCAAAAAGUUGACUGUACAAUUUAUAGCACAUCUAGUAAGAGCUCAAAUUAUGACGAGUAUUACUAACUAUAAAUUUAUGUAAUUUGAGUAAUCACAAUUUACUACAAAACUGUCAAA